rnacentral:tRNA from 1 species
GCAGCGGUGGUUCAGUGGUAGAAUUCUCACCUUCUACGUGGGAGACCCAGCUUCGAUUCCCGGCCAAUGUA